UUCUAGAGUUUGAUAUGGCUCAGGACGAACGCUGGCGGCGUGCCUAAUACAUGCAAGUCGAACGCUUCUUUCCUCCCGAGUGCUUGCACUCAAUUGGAAAGAGGAGUGGCGGACGGGUGAGUAACACGUGGGUAACCUACCCAUCAGAGGGGGAUAACACUUGGAAACAGGUGCUAAUACCGCAUAACAGUUUAUGCCGCAUGGCAUAAGAGUGAAAGGCGCUUUCGGGUGUCGCUGAUGGAUGGACCCGCGGUGCAUUAGCUAGUUGGUGAGGUAACGGCUCACCAAGGCCACGAUGCAUAGCCGACCUGAGAGGGUGAUCGGCCACACUGGGACUGAGACACGGCCCAGACUCCUACGGGAGGCAGCAGUAGGGAAUCUUCGGCAAUGGACGAAAGUCUGACCGAGCAACGCCGCGUGAGUGAAGAAGGUUUUCGGAUCGUAAAACUCUGUUGUUAGAGAAGAACAAGGACGUUAGUAACUGAACGUCCCCUGACGGUAUCUAACCAGAAAGCCACGGCUAACUACGUGCCAGCAGCCGCGGUAAUACGUAGGUGGCAAGCGUUGUCCGGAUUUAUUGGGCGUAAAGCGAGCGCAGGCGGUUUCUUAAGUCUGAUGUGAAAGCCCCCGGCUCAACCGGGGAGGGUCAUUGGAAACUGGGAGACUUGAGUGCAGAAGAGGAGAGUGGAAUUCCAUGUGUAGCGGUGAAAUGCGUAAAUAUAUGGAGGAACACCAGUGGCGAAGGCGGCUCUCUGGUCUGUAACUGACGCUGAGGCUCAAAAGCGGGGGGAGCAAACAGGAUUAAAUACCCUGGUAUUCACGCCGUAAACGAUGCGCGUUAAAUCGACCGCC
rnacentral:rRNA from 1 species